CAGGCUCCGCCCAUGGGGAGAGAUGGCAGCAAACCAACUUUGAUAGCUGCUAUUCUGUUAUUAUGAGAGUGUAUGGAUUAACAAUGGUCUAGAUAUGCAUACUGUAGCAUACUGUAGCUCCACUGUUACACCACCACCCACCAAGCUUCAGAGAUGGAGGCUAAUCUGAGGUGCUUACGCCUUGCUGGGAGAAUCUUUGCUCCACCAUUGUUGAGUGCUACAUAACCUGCCUCAUCGCUGAUCACCACCAUGAUAAGGUCUCUGUAUUAUCCCACGGGAGAGUCACAAAAGAAGGUUGGCUAUCGGAGCUCUGCAGUUACCACCUACUGUUAUUGUUAAAUGUGAAUGUGAGCCUGUGUUUAAAGAUUCUGCAAAGCAAUUCGGUAAUAUCAAGGAACUGCACAAAAGAUCCCGAAGAUCUCAGUGCAGUAUUAAUGCAGUGUUCUUACAGGCAGCAGAGUUCUACUUUGAACUGCAGUGGUGAUUACGUGAUUCAUAAAGAUCUAUAAAACUGACAAUAAUUCAGUUUUAAACAGUAUGUUAAAGUGGAAAUGAAACACUACAUAUAUUAAGCCUAAUUUACACCAUGGCGCUUUACUGUAAAAAAAAAGGUCACAAAUUUAACACCGUCUGUGGAACUCAAUUUAAAAUAUAAGCGUUUUAAGUUACAGUUUUUAGAGCAUGUUUAAUGUCAUCUUGUCAAAGUGAAGAACAUGAAGUCACUAGUUUGGUAGUCCUACAUUCAGUUAUGUUAGCUAACUACUGACAGAACCAAAAACUAAAUAAUAUUGAAAACAAGGAGAUUAAAAUGGAAAAGACUUAUGAAAAGACUGUCCACUUUCACUCUUUGUCUCUUAGUCCACUGAAACAGGUCUGUUGGCUGUAAUUCUUGGGUUUGUAGAACAGUUUAUGAAUGCUGGCUGCUGUCCCCUCUGUGUUUUCCUUGUCGUGUCAGAUGUAUGGAAAAAGUUUAAGAGCAUAUGUCUACAAGAUGUGUCAAUCACUAUUUCAUGCAAUUUGUUAUUUAAUCCCCAGUUAUAUCAGGAUUAAGUCUUCCUUUCCCCCAAGCACACCCAACCAGUUAACAACAUAAUAUUAUAUAGCAUAUAAUAGGCUACUGCCAGUGUUGGGUAUGACAUGUUAUAGUAACGUAUUACUGUGAUCACUUGACAUUUGUCAGUAACAUAUUACUGUACUAAAUUUAGUAGUUACAUUACAGUUACACUUAUGUUGUUACUACAAAGGUUCUUCAGUUGUCUUCCUGCACACUUGCGCUACAAUCAGCUAAUUUUAGUUCAUGUGUGUGAGGAGUAAAAUGGUGGAGCAAUACAGCUACUGAGGAUUGGAGAUAAGGACAAGAGCGCAAAGCUAAAUUGGAAGCUAAAAAUGCUAACAGCUCUUUGUUUCUUUGCAAGCAUGUGCACAGACAGCAUGCUAACGCUAGUGCUAACCCAGUGUGAUUUUAAAGCUGAGUGCAUGCACAUGCCAGCUCAGCAGUCAGAGACUCAUUCUUCUGCACUUCACUUCUUCCACACUUCACUUCUGCAGGUAACAAAAGCAGCGAUGAGCAGUCAGGCUUGUAGCCUCCGUUUCUACCUGUUAAUGUUUGUAGCGUAGAAUCACUGUGGCGAUCACUUUGAAGUCUCUGGUCUGGUUUUUGUCUUUGUGUUAUCAGCUUUGUGUUCAUACAUAAAUACUAAGAGAAAGAUUAUACUGUAUGUGUGUCCUCAUUAGGAUAUGGAUUUGUGUUGGUGUGUUGUUAAUCGGUAACUACUGCAUGAUGAUGUGUUUACUUUAAUGCCUCAUUUGUUGAACUUAGUUGGACAAGCAGAAGAAAACAAAUGGAUGGAUUGAUGGAAAAUGUUGUAAAAAUGUCUAUUUUUUAAAUUUCUCACUUCUUACCAAAGUGAGAAAAAAUGAAGCCCAAAGGUACAUUGAAAGUACGACACCUAGUCAGUCUGGAUUUAAUCCAACUGAGAUGCUUUGGCCGGACCUUAAACAAGAAAUCCUGCUCUAAAGCCCUCCAGUGUAGCUGAAUCAAAAUUCUGCAAAGAAAAGUGGGAAGAAAUUCCUCCACAGUGAUGUGAAACACUCACUGAAAGUUAUCACAUGACUGCAGUUCUUGCCGCCAAGGGUGGAACAACCAGUUAUUAGGUUUGAGGGGGGGGGGAGUUAUUAGGGCCAGGUAGAUUUGGAUAGCUUUUUUACCUCGAUAAAUGAAAUUAUUGCAUUUUGUUUACACUCAGGUUAUUUUUGUCCAAUAUUAAAAUUUGAUGAUCUCAAACACUUAUGCAAGAAAAUAGGUAAUCGAGAAUAAGGCAAAUACUUUUUCAAUGUACUGUAUAAUAAUAGCCAUAUUAUAUAUAGCCAUACAAAAGCCGUCUUUCUGAUUUUUUUUUUUAUACAUGACACCAUCUCAGAAUGGGCUUAAAACCAGAUUUAAUUUUUCAGAAAGUCUGCAUCAUGAACUGGAUGAAUGGAGUUUGAAAAACAGAUAAAAAGUGUUUAGACAACAUAAUCA